AUUCCAAAAUGGGGGUAAUUCCUUAAAAGCUCCUUGAAUCAAUCAUAGGCUUCUGAGAAACUUUCAUCAUUUUCUUGCUCGAAAACAUAGAUCUUACUUCUCAAUU
rfam:Helianthus annuus linkage group 16, whole genome shotgun sequence.